rnacentral:rRNA from 1 species
GUCCAUGCCGUAAACGUUGGCACUAGGUGUGGGACAUUCCACGUUUCCGCGCCGUAGCUAACGCAUUAAGUGCCCCGCCUGGGGAGUACGGCCGCAAGGCUAAAACUCAAAGGAAUUGACGGGGCCCGCACAAGCGGCGGAGCAUGCGGAUUAAUUCGAUGCAACGCGAAGAACCUUACCAAGGCUUGACAUGUGCCAGACCGCUUCAGAGAUGGAGUUUCCCCUUGGGGCUGGUUCACAGGUGGUGCAUGGUUGUCGU